rnacentral:rRNA from 1 species
GUGAGGAAUAUUGCGCAAUGGAGGCAACUCUGACGCAGCCAUGCCGCGUGCAGGAAGAAGGCGCUACGCGUUGUAAACUGCUUUUAACCGGGAAGAAACCCCAGGACGUGUCCUGGGUUGACGGUACCGGAGGAAUAAGCACCGGCUAACUUCGUGCCAGCAGCCGCGGUAAUACGAAGGGUGCAAGCGUUAUCCGGAUUCAUUGGGUUUAAAGGGUGCGUAGGCGGAGCGUUAAGUCAGUGGUGAAAUCCUGCAGCUUAACUGUAGACUUGCCAUUGAUACUGGCGCGCUUGAGUGCGCUUGAAGUGGGCGGAAUGUGCCGUGUAGCGGUGAAAUGCUUAGAUAUGGCACAGAACACCAAUUGCGAAGGCAGCUCACUAAGGCGAUACUGACGCUGAGGCACGAAAGCGUGGGGAUCGAACAGGAUUAGAAACCCCAGUAGUCC